rnacentral:rRNA from 1 species
GAUGAACGCUAGCUACAGGCUUAACACAUGCAAGUCGAGGGGAAACGACAUCGAAAGCUUGCUUUUGAUGGGCGUCGACCGGCGCACGGGUGAGUAACGCGUAUCCAACCUGCCCAUCACUUGGGAAUAACCUUGCGAAAGUAAGACUAAUACCCAAUGAUAUCCCACGAAGGCAUCGGAAUGGGAUUAAAGAUUUAUCGGUGAUGGAUGGGGAUGCGUCUGAUUAGCUUGUUGGCGGGGUAACGGCCCACCAAGGCAACGAUCAGUAUGGGUUCUGAGAGGAAGGUCCCCCACAUUGGAACUGAGACACGGUCCAAACUCCUACGGGAGGCAGCAGUGAGGAAUAUUGGUCAAUGGGCGAGAGCCUGAACCAGCCAAGUAGCGUGCAGGAAGACGGCCCUUUGGGUUGUAAACUGCUUUUAUAAGGGAAUAAAGUGGGUCACGUGUGACUUUUUGCAUGUACCUUAUGAAUAAGGACCGGCUAAUUCCGUG